UACGAAGGGGGCUAGCGUUGUUCGGAAUUACUGGGCGUAAAGCGCACGUAGGCGGACAUUUAAGUCAGGGGUGAAAUCCCAGAGCUCAACUCUGGAACUGCCUUUGAUACUGGGUGUCUUGAGUAUGGAAGAGGUGAGUGGAAUUCCGAGUGUAGAGGUGGAAUUCGUAGAUAUUCGGAGGAACACCAGUGGCGAAGGCGGCUCACUGGUCCAUUACUGACGCUGAGGUGCGAAAGCGUGGGGAGCAAACAGG
rnacentral:rRNA from 1 species